rnacentral:rRNA from 1 species
AUUGAACGCUGGCGGCAUGCCUUACACAUGCAAGUCGAACGGCAGCACGGGGCAACCUGGUGGCGAGUGGCGAACGGGUGAGUAAUGCAUCGGAACGUACCUUUCAGUGGGGGAUAACGUAGCGAAAGUUACGCUAAUACCGCAUAUUCUGUGAGCAGGAAAGCAGGGGAUCGCAAGACCUUGCGCUGAUUGAGCGGCCGAUAUCAGAUUAGCUAGUUGGUGAGGGAAAGGCUCACCAAGGCGACGAUCUGUAGCGGGGCGGGGAGGAUGAUCCGCCACACUGGGACGGGGACACGCCCCAGGCUCCUACGGGAGGCAGCAGUGGGGAAUUUUGGACAAUGGGGGCAACCCUGAUUCAGCCAUGCCGCGUGAGUGAAGAAGGCCUUCGGGUUGUAAAGCUCUUUCGGCCGGGAAGAAAUCGCACAGGCUAAUACCUUGUGUGGAUGACGGUACCGGAAUAAGAAGCACCGGCUAACUACGUGCCAGCAGCCGCCGUAAGAC